rnacentral:SRP_RNA from 1 species
GCCGGGCGCAGUGGCGGGCGCCUGUAGUCCCAGCUACUCAGGAGGCCGAGGCAGGAGAAUCGCUUGAACCCAGGAGAUGGAGGUUGCAGUGAGCUUAGAUCACGCUACUGCACUCCAGCCUGGGCGACAGAGCGAGACUCCGUCUCAA